UACGAAGGGGGCUAGCGUUGCUCGGAAUCACUGGGCGUAAAGGGUGCGUAGGCGGGUCUUUAAGUCAGGGGUGAAAUCCUGGAGCUCAACUCCAGAACUGCCUUUGAUACUGAGGAUCUUGAGUUCGGGAGAGGUGAGUGGAACUGCGAGUGUAGAGGUGAAAUUUCGUAGAUAUUCGCAAGAACACCAGUGGCGAAGGCGGCUCACUGGCCCGAUACUGACGCUGAGGAGCGAAAGCGUGGGGAGCGAACAGG
rnacentral:rRNA from 1 species